UACGUGAGUGGCAAGCGUUAUCCGGAAUUACUGGGCGUAAAGGGCGUGUAGGUGGUAAUAUAAGUACAUAGGUAAAAACACUCAGCUUAACUGAGAAGGAGCCUAUGAAACUGUAGAACUAGAGUAUAGGAUAGGAAGAUGGAAUUAUUACUGUAGCGGUGGAAUGCGUAGAUAGUAAUAGGAAGGCCAACGACGAAGGUAAUCUUCUGGACUAAUACUGACACUGAGGCGCGAAAGCUAGGGGAGCAAACAGG
rnacentral:rRNA from 1 species